ACGCUGCCGCCAUGUUCCGCUGACGCCCGUCAGCAGCAUGCCCAGGCAGUCUCGAUCUUCAAGACUGCGACGCGGUUCCGACCGCGUUGAUCAACCAGUUCGCUCCGGCAUCCCAGCGCGAACAGCCAUCGGUUCUCCCGAUGGUGAUGC
rfam:Pantoea sp. PSNIH2, complete genome.